AUAAGUUAUCACAAACCUCUUUUAUAUUUUGCAUCUCUCUGUAUCUCUGCUAUAGUGUGGGCAAUUAUACUUGGUUAAGUCACUAUGUGAAAUGCAAACAAAUACAAUUGUGAAUGAUAGAGAAGUACAGCUGAAAUUUUUCUUACCCUCUUUGCAUUAGCUAGGGUAGACUGUUACUGCAACAAAUAAAACCAAGCAUAUAUAAUGACUCAAAAAAAUUUUUUUUUGUUUCUUCUCUAACAGUACUGGGAAAGUAAAUAGGUCCUCAGAGAACUUUUAGUGUGCAGUCACAUAAGGACCCAGGCUGAUGGAAACUCUGCCAUCUUCAACUUACGGGUUCCAAAGUUGCCAAAGAAGUGGUCUCUGUCCCAGCCAGCUAGAUGGGAAAAGAAUAUGAAGGAGCACAGGACUACAGGAUGCUGUGACCAAGGGGACUGUGCAACAACCCAGGCCUGGCUGAGACAACAAUCCAGUGGGCCACACCUGAAGCUCCUGAAAGAACCUGUCACGAGAAUCUUAUAUGCAGGGAUGGUCUGGCUCUUUUCCACAUAAUAUAAUAGCAGAACACCUACUUCAGGCCUAAAAAUGUACUCUUAUAAAAUAUGAACCUCAAAUUUGGCUUUAAUUCUGGCACUAAAAAUGGACUAGUUGUGAAUACCUCUGUUAAAUAUUAAGAAUUACUCUUACUUGCACUACAACAAAAUAUGUGAAAGAAAAGAGAAGGUUCAGAAGAGAAAAACAAAACAAAACACACCUGCAAACUUAAAGGCAGGUCGUGAAUUCUGGUAGCCAGUGUUCGGAUUUCUCUGUCAGAUAAGACACCAGACUGGUCUGUAUCAACUUCAUCAAAAACCUGAGAUAUAUUCAGUGGCUGAACAGCACUCAUGAGAUAGUAAAAAUAUGAAAAGGCAAACUGCAUAUCCUCCGAAUGGCGCACUUUGUGAAAUGACGUCUUGUCAAAUUCUUCAGGGAACCUGUCCAAACAUAACAUACAGUGAGCUGAGCUCUGGAUACUUGAAGUAUAUAUAGACAUUAAUCUGUAUUCAAAUAUAUUCCAACAUUUGUGGAGUUAGAAUCUUCUUUCCCAUUUCUUUCGCUGAUACCUUCAACAUACCAGUUGUCACGUGUUAAGAGCCAUACAUCAAGCACCACAAAGACGUCCACUGUAAGCAGACUUAACUCUGAGCACGUGCAAGCAACUCACACAAUAAGCAAGACUUACAUAUCUUGAAGUUCUUGCAUAACGAUUCGGUCAAUCAUGUGAGGCAUGUGUGCAGGGACUUUCCGAGAUGUGAAUCCAAACUUGCUGUUUAGAAUUUUAUUUACGUAUCGAAGGGAAUCUGCAAAUGUAUCUUUCAACUUCCUUCCAGUGUGUUUGCUAUCAGUGUAGUAUGCCAGUUGUGUCUUCAAUGACUCUUCUUCCUGAAAAGAGAAUUCCAUGUAACAUAGCAUUAUGUUUACUGCACAGGUGUACUUUGUUUAAGUAGUAUUUUAUAUACCUAGCCAGGAACUGUGACAAAUAAAUGAGCACCAGCAGAUCACUUUAAGGAUCCUAAGAGUAGGACUAAACUCAAUUUCAGUGAAAGUUUCACCAGCACUGGUCUAUGAACAACAGUUGGGCAAAGGAGGUCUAUUUAUAGGGUAUUUUUCAAGGACUAGUCACCAAGCAUGAAAUUUCAUAGCCAAUUCAGUGCAGUAUUUAAAAAAUUUAUUUGAAAGUAAGUUUGACAGGGGCGUCUGGGUGGUCAGUUGAUUGAACAUCUGACUCUUGAUCUUGGCCCAGGUCUUGAUCUCAGGUUGUUAAGUUCAGGCCUCACAUUGAAGCCUACUUUAAAAAUAAAAAUUAACCAACUGAUCAAUUUAAUAGCACUUUCAAUAUCAAGUUAUUUCUACUGGUGACAUCUAAGCAGUAAGCACUUGAGUUCUGAACAGAAGGACCAAAAAAAGGAUUGUUUCACCAUAUAACAGUGUUAAUAUUAUAAAAUACAAAGAUGGAACCCUGUCAAAAUCAAAAUCAGUAAGAGGCAAAACUAAUGGGCAAAGAAUAUUAAGAGAAUAUAUGAAUACACUUUACGAAGAUGGGAUAUUUUUGCUUCUCAAUCUGGUGAAAAAAUAUCGAUUGAUACUGUUGUUGGUUAGCCUGUGGAGAAACUAGCACUUUUGUAUACUGUGGCAGUAUGAAGUGGUAUGGCAUUCUAGAAGGACACAGUAAAAAAAAAAAUUAACUUUGACCUAGAAAUUCCACCUACAUAAGUAGAAACUUCCUCAAAAAUAGGCUAUACGUACAAGAAUAUCUACUGCAACACUACUUGUAAUUGCAAAACAAACAGCUCUUAAAAAACACAGUGACACUCGCAUGGGUUUGCUCCCAUACUACCGGAUCAAGAGGCAACCACAGAGCAGUAUGUGUAGUGCUAGUUCACUGCUGCAAAACACUGCUGCAAACAAACAAACAAACAAAAAAACAAAACACUGCUGCAAAAGACGUAUUAAUAUAGUUUGUUUAUUUGCAUAUCUAUAUAAAAAUACUGGAAAAAUACCCACCAAACUAUUCCUAGUGAUUAUUUCAAGUAAGAAAAUAAAGGAAGAAAGGAGGAAGAUCUUUCCCUUUUUUACUGUAUAUUUUUUGGAUUGCUUACAAUUUUUGCCACUAGUCUAUAAUAUUUUUUAAUUUAAAGUAAGUAAUGAAAGGGAUAUUAUCACAGGUAAGAACUUUGCAGUCCUUCACUCAAUUGGUAAAUGACUACUGUAGGGAUAAGAUACUCUCCAAAGACAGUGAGGGAAGUUCCCCUCUUCAGCCUCUUUUUUCCCAGCCUGACACCUACUCAUGGCUGUGCUCUGUUCAUGAUCCAGCCUUGACACAGGCUCACACAGACAGGGUGGUCUGUCAAUUCCCACAUAGUUGACAGGAACUAUCCUCACAAAUAGUUCAGGAGGAUAGCUCCUCAUGGACGCCUUCUCUAAUACCUCUAGGCAAAGUAAGAAAUUUUCCUUUUGGACUCCUUGCGCAACCUCGGGAGACCUCCGUCACGUCGCUACAAUUAUUUACUCACAAAUCUGUCCUCCUAGCUGUGUUCUAAUAGUCUUGCAUUCCCCUGCAGUGAACACAGUGACAGCACUUGGCAGAUGGACAGAUGACAGCAUGGCACCAUGGAGACCAUGGUACAGGAGAGUGAGCACUUGAACCCUGAGGCUUGGCUCACACUGGAAACUAAUUAAUUUAUCUGCACCCUGGGUUUCUUUUUUUUUAAUCAGUAAAAUUAGAAAAAUAAUCAGAUCUGACUCACACAGUAUAUGCAGAAGCAUUUUUUUUGAAAUCAGAAUAUGUCAAGUGAAGAUACCAUCCCUGUUCUACUACUUUCUCAGGGCAUGCCCCCAGCUUACUCCCUUACUCAUUCACAUUAGCUUAAGCUGUUUCCUAAACUGUGACAUGAGGAUCAUACUAGUAGAUAACCUUAUAAGGUAUUUUUAUUGUUAGGGGUGUUGGGGCAAUAAAAGCAUGUAAGAAAAAGCAUUUAGUUCAGUGACUGGCACAGGACGUCCUGAAUAAACAGUACCUAUUAUUAUAUAAUUACCCCUUACAAGGUUAUUUAUUUUUCUGAGCAUGGGAAAGAUGAAAGCUGGAUAUAACUUACGUCGAGAAGAUCCUGGAAAUACUUUUUUUUCUCCCAUGGCAAAAAGCCCAGGUAACUGUCUGUAUAAUGCUGCAGUUUUCUUCCAGGUAGUACUUCAUUAACAUCUACGUAGUUGUUUGCAUUUUCCUCCAUUCUGGUUUUCUCUCGUUCUUUCCCUGUGAUUUUCUUUUCUUUUGUAAUCUGCUUUUCCAGUGGAACAAUCCGAGAGGAGAGUUUUUCUGUUGAUACACUUCCACCUCUUACUUUUUGGAUCAGAAUUUCAGAUUUAAAUUUUUCUUCGAUUUCUAAGUCCGGGGGUGGAUUCUGACUCUGGUAGUGACCAUUCACUUUCAUUGUCACUGCUGAAAACGUCGACCUCUGUAAUCUUUCAGAUGUUCCCAAGCUUUUCGGCAAGAUGCUUUUGUGAACCUGUUUUUCCAGUGGGGCCUCUACACUGUCAUUUCUUUCAUCUGUUAUUAAAGCUUGAUUUAUUUUUACUUCAGCACCUGGUGAGCUCCUCAGAAAUGAUCUCAGCAAUGCUGACUUGGACAGGUUGUAUCCUUUCACAGUGAUGUCUCCACGUUCUAGCUGCAAAUCCAAGUUACUGAGACUCAAUUGAGCCUCUUUGGGAAGGAGUGAAAUAUUUACCAAGGGAAUUUCCACCUCUACCUGGAAUCUUCCUGUUGUGUUAACAUCAUGUCUUUUGAACUUUGGAAAGCGUUUCUCUUCAGGAAUAUCCUCAAACAGUAUUUCCGCCUCUGGAAGAAGUGUUGUGGGACUAACCAAAUUUUGGUAAGACUUCUGGGUCGUAGAAUUCACUUUGGGUUCCUCUCUUGUGUCAACCUCUACUGUUAUCUGGAUUUUGAACUCUUCAUCAUUUGUAUUUUGAAAUGUGAGAUUAAAAUGUAUUGUGGUCGCAUUCAUUCCACUGUGCAUUAUGAGGUGGAUGGUUUUCCAUUUAUUGGCAAUAGAAGCAUGUCGAAUUAUUGGGUUGUCACUAUAGGCACCUUCGAUUCCUCUUUUGGCUAUUUCUGCAAAGCUGAAAUAAGGCAGGCA